UACGGAGGGUGCAAGCGUUGUUCGGAAUUACUGGGCGUAAAGCGCGUGCAGGCGGUUCGGUAAGUCAGAUGUGAAAGCCCUGGGCUCAACCCAGGAAGUGCAUUUGAUACUGCCGGGCUAGAGUAUGGGAGAGGAGAGUGGAAUUCCCAGUGUAGAGGUGAAAUUCGUAGAUAUUGGGAGGAACACCCGUGGCGAAGGCGACUCUCUGGACCAAUACUGACGCUGAGACGCGAAAGCGUGGGGAGCAAACAGG
rnacentral:rRNA from 1 species